AGAUCACCGCCGAGCAGAACGACUUUCAGGAGGCCUGUGAGGAUGGAUACGCAACUAUCAGCGCUGCACUGGAGCCGAUCUUUCAGGAGGCUGCAAAGGCUGGCAAAUCUU
rnacentral:ribozyme from 1 species